UGGGGAAUAUUGGACAAUGGGCGAAAGCCUGAUCCAGCCAUGCCGCGUGUGUGAAGAAGGUCUUCGGAUUGUAAAGCACUUUAAGUUGGGAGGAAGGGCAUUAACCUAAUACGUUAGUGUUUUGACGUUACCGACAGAAUAAGCACCGGCUAACUCUGUGCCAGCAGCCGCGGUAAUACAGAGGGUGCAAGCGUUAAUCGGAAUUACUGGGCGUAAAGCGCGCGUAGGUGGUUUGUUAAGUUGGAUGUGAAAUCCCCGGGCUCAACCUGGGAACUGCAUUCAAAACUGACUGACUAGAGUAUGGUAGAGGGUGGUGGAAUUUCCUGUGUAGCGGUGAAAUGCGUAGAUAUAGGAAGGAAAACCAGUGGCGAAGGCGACCACCUGGACUAAUACUGACACUGAGGGGCGAAAGCGUGGGGAGCAAACA
rnacentral:rRNA from 1 species